rnacentral:rRNA from 1 species
GAUGAACGCUGGCGGCGUGCCUAAUACAUGCAAGUCGAGCGAACAGACGAGGUGCUUGCUCCUCUUACGUUAGCGGCGGACGGGUGAGUAACACGUGGAUAACCUACCUAUAAGACUGGGAUAACUUCGGGAAACCGGAGCUAAUACCGGAUAAUAUCUUUAAACGCAUGGUUCAAUAGUGAAAGACGGUUUUGCUGUCACUUAUAGAUGGAUCCGCGCCGCAUUAGCUAGUUGGUAAGGUAACGGCUUACCAAGGCAACGAUGCGUAGCCGACCUGAGAGGGUGAUCGGCCACACUGGAACUGAGACACGGUCCAGACUCCUACGGGAGGCAGCAGUAGGGAAUCUUCCGCAAUGGGCGAAAGCCUGACGGAGCAACGCCGCGUGAGUGAUGAAGGUCUUCGGAUCGUAAAACUCUGUUAUUAGGGAAGAACAAAUGUGUAAGUAACUAUGCACGUCUUGACGGUACCUAAUCAGAAAGCCACGGCUAACUACGUG